AAUGUGAAUAUCAUUGAUAUUAUUAAUAAAAUGUUAACGUUUGUAUGCUUGUUCCCCCGUCCCUGUACAGCGGUCCUAGUCUGCAAUGGUCACGGUACGGCUAGAGGGGGACCUGGUAACUCCACUCUGUGUGUGUGCCAGGAGCCAUACACUGGGGAUACUUGUCAAACCUGUAAUCACGGCUACUACGGCAACCCAAUCAACGGUGGACUCAACUAGUCACUGGAAUGGAGUUCCACAAGUUCUACUUUGACCAUCAUUUCCAUGAUCACACCCAAGGUUCAGAUGUUGGGGGACCAGGGGCGGAUCCAGGAUUUAGGAAAGGGGGGUUCUUACUUCUUGGCCGCGCGAAGCGCAAAUAAGAAGUGUUACUCGGCGCAUAGCGCCGAAAUUUUUCGGCUGACCACGCCCCCUUUUACGUGCCACGCCCAUUAAUUAACCACAUUCCCCUUCAACAAAAACAUUAUACAAAAAAACAGAAAAUUAAUUAUAUAAUAUCUGAAAGAACACAAGGCAAAGCCAUUCUCAUGCUCUGGGAUAGUGAUUGCACUUUCUUCUCUUUCAGGAGAGCACCAAUGUCCAUUGGCUGAUCCUCAGCGGAAGAUCUCGUUGCUUGCUUCGAUGAACACGGAGGGGUGAUGGAGGUGGCUGGUGGUUCCAGUGGAGAGAUAGUUGUGACUGGAGGAGAGAUGGUUGUGACUGGAGGAGAGACGGUGGUGGCUGGAGGGGUGGCUGGAGGAGAGACGGUGGUGGCUGGAGGAGAGACGGUGGUGGCUGGAGGAGAGACGUUGAUGACUGGAGGAGAGACGGUGGUGGCUGGUGGUUCUCUUGAAGAGGAGACUGGCUGUAGACUUGACGCAUCAUCUAGAUUAUUAUAUUAGUCAAUAUAAUUAUUAUAGCAAUUAUAAUUAAUCUAUACAGUGUCUAUCAUUCAGUAUGCAGUGCCAUGAACUCUCCCUUACCUGAAACUUUACUCUUCUUAAACCAGGAGUCAAUGGAGGGUUGCAAUCUAGACCUUUUGUUAGGAUUUGUGGCCAGGCUCAAUUAUCACUGCGACCACGGCUGGAUGAGUCAAUAUAGCCAGCCCCACCCUCAUAUUAUGCAGAGAGUACCAGCCCCACCCUCACAUUAUACAGAGAGAACUUUGUACCCUAUUGUCAUGACAGUAAGCUAGCUAGCCAGGUGUAAUAUAAAGUAUCAACUUAGUGGAAGGGUAGUUCGUACAAACCCAACGAACUACCUCUGGAUCCGCCCCUGGCCGGACUCAGGUGCUUAUUGUGCCUACAUCCGCCUCAUCCAAACAGUCGUCAAGGAAGGCGUGGCUCACUCAGUGAGUAUUCCAGAGACCAGGAUCUGGCAGGAUAUUGGAAGUAUGUUCAUUCUCAUUGCUCGGCUGGUGGGGGCCAAUCCAGCGAGGUCACCUGACACCCCUAGCGACCAGUAGUUACCAUAACAACUUGGUAAAGGAUAUUUGUGAUUUUGUGUUGUGCUUUUACAUGACUGCAUGUAGUUUCAGUUUUGAAAUGAAUUGAGUUUUUGUGACACUGGUUAUUUUCGUAUGGUAGAAAUUUUCAUAUUUUUCGUGAUGUAAAACAUCAUACGAAAGUUACAAGUAUGAAAUUAUUCUACCCCAA